UACGACUACAUAUCAGGCAUAUCAAUAAGCGGAGGAAAAGAAACUAACAAGGAUUCCCUUAGUAACGGCGAGUGAAGCGGGAAGAGCUCAAAUUUGAAAUCUUCAAGGUUCUACCUUGACGAAUUGUAGUUUAAAGAAGUGUUUUCUGUUGAAGUUUUGGUAAAAGUUCUUUGGAAUAGGACAUCAUAGAGGGUGAGAAUCCCGUAUUUGACCAUUAUUUCCAGCUGUGUGAUACACUUUCAAAGAGUCGGAUUGUUUGGGAAUGCAGUCCAAAAUGGGUGGUAAAUUUCAUCUAAAGCUAAAUAUUGGCGAGAGACCGAUAGCGAACAAGUACCGUGAGGGAAAGAUGAAAAGAACUUUGAAAAGAGAGUUAAACAGUACGUGAAAUUGUCAAAAGGGAAGCGUUUGACACCAGUGUUGUUUUCUCGAAAAUCAAUUAAAAAUAGUUGGAUUUUGUGUUGUAUUGACCUUAACAGCUUGCUUCACUCUUUUCCAGCUUUUUUUAAUGCACUUUUCGUUUAACAAGUCAACAUCAGUUUCUUUUGUUGUAAAAGGGUCAUUGGAAGGUGGCUUUCUCUUCGGAGAAAGUGUUUAUAGCCUUUGAUCUCUGCAAUCGGAGAGACUGAGGUCUGCAGCGUAGAUCCUUCGGGGUUAGAUACAUUUGUGCUAAGCUACAGCUUUUCAUAGACAACUUGUUGACUAUGUUUAGUCUUGUAACUUACCCGCUUAUGCUAUUUUACCUACGCUUAGGAUGUUGAGCGCAUGUCUCUCUCU
rnacentral:rRNA from 1 species